rnacentral:rRNA from 1 species
GAUGAACGCUGGCGGCGUGCCUAAUACAUGCAAGUCGAGCGAACAGACGAGGAGCUUGCUCCUCUGACGUUAGCGGCGGACGGGUGAGUAACACGUGGAUAACCUACCUAUAAGACUGGGAUAACUUCGGGAAACCGGAGCUAAUACCGGAUAAUAUAUUGAACCGCAUGGUUCAAUAGUGAAAGACGGUUUUGCUGUCACUUAUAGAUGGAUCCGCGCCGCAUUAGCUAGUUGGUAAGGUAACGGCUUACCAAGGCAACGAUGCGUAGCCGACCUGAGAGGGUGACCGGCCACACUGGAACUGAGACACGGUCCAGACUCCUACGGGAGGCAGCAGUAGGGAAUCUUACGCAAUGGGCGAAAGCCUGACGGAGCAAAGCCGCGUGAGUGAUGAAGGUCUUCGGAUCGUAAAACUCUGUUAUUAGGGAAGAACAAAUGUGUAAGUAACUAUGCACGUCUUGACGGUACCUAAUCAGAAAGCCACGGCUAACUACGUG